GCGAGUAUGGUACAAUGGCUAGCAUGUCAGCCUUCCAAGCUGAAGAUGAGGGUUCGAUUCCCUCUACUCGCACCA
rnacentral:tRNA from 1 species